rnacentral:rRNA from 1 species
AGAGAGAGACAUGCGCGCAUAUCAAUAAGCGGAGGAAAAGAAACUAACAAGGAUUCCCCUAGUAACGGCGAGUGAAGCGGGAAGAGCUCAAAUUUGAAAUCUUAAAGGGUUUCCCUUUACGAAUUGUAGUUUAAAGAAGUGUUUUCUGUUGAGGUUUUGGUAAAAGUUCUUUGGAAUAGGACAUCAUAGAGGGUGAGAAUCCCGUAUUUGACCUUUACUUUCAACUUUGUGAUACACUUUCAAAGAGUCGGAUUGUUUGGGAAUGCAGUCCAAAAUGGGUGGUAAAUUUCAUCUAAAGCUAAAUAUUGGCGAGAGACCGAUAGCGAACAAGUACCGUGAGGGAAAGAUGAAAAGAACUUUGAAAAGAGAGUUAAACAGGUACGUGAAAUUGUCAAAAGGGAAGCGUUUGACACCAGUGUUGUUUUUCUGAAAAUCAAUUAAAGAACUGUUUAUGCUAAGUUGUUUAGACUUUAUCAGCUAACUGUUUAGUUUUGAGCUUUUCUUUAAUGCACUUUUCAGUUAACAAGUCAACAUCAAUUUCUUUUGCUGUAAAAAAGCUUGAGGAAGGUGGCUUGAGAUUCGUCUUAAGUGUUUAUAGCCUCUUGCCUAUGCAGUCGGAGAGAUUGAGGUCUGCAGCGUAGAUCCUUCGGGGCUAAAUGCAUUUGUGCUAAGUUAUAGCAUUUUAUAGACAACUUGUUGACUAUGAUUUGUCUUGUAGCUUACUCGCUUAUGUUAUUUUACCUACGCUUAGGAUGUUGAGCGCAUGUCUCUCUCU